UACAGAGGUCUCAAGCGUUGUUCGGAUUCAUUGGGCGUAAAGGGUGCGUAGGCGGCGCGGUAAGUCGGGUGUGAAAUCUUGGAGCUUAACUCCGAAACUGCAUUCGAUACUGCCGUGCUUGAGGACUGGAGAGGAGACUGGAAUUUACGGUGUAGCGGUGAAAUGCGUAGAUAUCGUCUGGAACGCCAAAGGUGAAAACAGACUGCUGGGAGUGUGCUGACGCUGAGACACGAAAGCCAGGGGAGCAAACGGG
rnacentral:rRNA from 1 species